GUCGAUGUAGUAUAGUGGUAGUACUCUACGUUGUGGCCGUAAAGGCGGUAGUUCGAUUCUGCCCAUCGACA